AUCUGAUCAGUUGGUAUGUGGGGGGCAGUGGCUGAAAGGUGCAUAAAUGUGGGCUGGACAGUGGUCAAGGGAGCAACCUGGGAAGAGCAACCUGGGAGAGGAACCUGGGAGGAGCACCUGAGGACUGGAUCAGAAGUGACUGGGCAGGAUGUGAGAGAGACCAGAGAGGAGGCCAUGGCAAGGAAUCAGACCACCAUGUUCUUUGUUCAUCGGUCCCUGGUAAGACCUCACCUUGAGUAUGCAGUUUUGAGCUCCAUUCCUUAAUAAGGAUAUUAUUGAGCUGGAGAGAGUGCAGAGACUAUGCUGGACAUGACAGAGAAUUUAAAAAAAUGACGAAAGACUCAACGUUGGGUUGUUUUCUCUGGAGAAAAGGUGCUUGUGCUUACUCUUUGCAGGUACGUUAGAGGGCAUUAUAGACAGAUAAUGGGGGAUCUUGAGAUCUUUUUUCCCAUAGAAAAGAUCGACACACCAAAUACCUCUCCUUUAGACUACAGUACGAGAACUUUGAAGCAGUGUAGGUGGUUUUUCAGGGUAAAGGCACUGAGGUUAUGGAAUUCCCUGCUGGGUGAUGUUGUGAUGGCAAAUUCUAUUAAUGCCUUAAAGAGUGACUUGGAAGAUUUCUUGAACAAGCAAAAUACCCAAGGCUACUGUGAUCUUUAGAUCUAUAGCUAGUUAUUAUAUGUAUUGGUAUAUAUAGUUUAUAUAUGCGAGGUCUGCAUAAUUUGUCUAUAUAUGAGCACUGGGGUUCUUUUGGAGGGGUUAAACUUGAUAGACCUUUGUCUAUUUUUAGGCCAAUUAACUAUGUAACUAUGUAACAAAGUGAAAAGUAACUCUAUACCACAAAUUACUACACAUUGACUGAACCAAAACAUCACCGGGCAGGGUAUUUCACAAUCUGCCCUCACCGUAAAGACUUUAAAAGUACACAUAGUUUAGCUCAAACUUGUCUGGGGCUAACACAGGUUUAUGGUACUUCAAUGUUUAAGCAGAAAUACAUGAAGUAUUUAGAGAGCUUAGUUCAGUUUUAGCAAGGCCACUUUUUCUGAUUUCCUAAGACGUUCUUUCAGAAAAUAAUUUUCACAACAAAAGUGAAAAUAAGAGGGACCACUCCCCUUGAUGUUUCUGCUUAAGUAAUCAGCCUCCCAGUUUUCUUAUCCAGGUAUGAAGAUCGCUGAAAUGGCCGGCACAUUGAUCUGCCCAAUGGAACAUUUUGGACACUUCCUGCAUUGCUCCUUGUUCCACCCUGGUGGUUGAGGUAGCAUUGUCCGAUUGAAUUUGGACAGGUGUGGCAUUGAAUAGAGGUUCCCAAUGGCAAAGGGCAUUGUGUACAGCUCAAUCUCCAGAACAAUGACGUACAGGCUUGUUUCCACUGGGGGCCAGAGGCCCUGGCAGGAUAGGUUCUCCAAGGAUGCCCCCAGCCAGACAGGUUGGCGUCCAUACUUAUCAUUUUCCAAGUGCCCAGAGACGACUGAGAGAUAGAUUGAGAAUGUCUUGCUGAGGGGAAUGAUCUGGAAAAAAUCAAUGUGAUCCUUGUUCCAUGUUUUGAGGAACGCUGUUUGCAGAGCUCUCAUGAAAAUGUGAGUAAGGAAUCACCUCUAGAAAAGAGACCAUUAGCCCCAGGAGCCUCAAGCAAUCCUCUUCUCCCAAAAAUCAUUGAGUCGAUAUCUGAAGAUUGGCUAUUUUGUCCUCUGGGAGGAACAUUGUUUGAUUCUUGUAACUGAAGAUCAUUCUGAGGAAACAGAUUUGCUGUUGUUUGGAGUGUUUGUUGCAUGUGUUGGGGUGUCACCUCAAGUGAUGGGCCCUUGAUGAGUAUAUCAUCCAGGUAAGGUAGUGCCAUAACACCCCUCUUUCUCAGGAUGGCUACAACUGGAGUCAAGACCUUGGUAAGUACUUGUAGGACAGCAGUCAGGCCGAACUGUAGGGCUCUGAACUGGAAAUGCUCCUGUGCCACUCCAAGUCUCAGAAACCUUUGCUGAUUUGGGUGCUGGUCCAAAAAUGGCUGUUGCAUUGAUGUAACUUCAUCUGAGGAUAUUUUUUAUUCUUUUAUCCAUAUGGUCUUUGAAUCCCAUGGCAUACUCUUUUGUUAAUGUUGUGUAUUUAGAAAGGCGAGAGAUCGCCAAAUCGACUUUCGGUGGUUUAUCCCAUUUUGUUCCAUAUUCCUGGGGUACUGGAAACUUAGUAAACAAUUUUUUUCUCAGA